rnacentral:rRNA from 1 species
UAGGGAAUCUUCCACAAUGGACGAAAGUCUGAUGGAGCAACGCCGCGUGAGCGAUGAAGGCCUUCGGGUCGUAAAGCUCUGUUGUUAGGGAAGAACAAGUACCGGAGUAACUGCCGGUACCUUGACGGUACCUAACCAGAAAGCCACGGCUAACUACGUGCC